rnacentral:rRNA from 1 species
AUAGAACGCUGGCGGCAUGCCUUACACAUGCAAGUCGAACGGUAACGGGCCUUCGGGUGCCGACGAGUGGCGAACGGGUGAGUAAUGUAUCGGAACGUACCUUUCAGUGGGGGAUAACGUAGCGAAAGUUACGCUAAUACCGCAUAUUCUGUGAGCAGGAAAGCAGGGGAUCGCAAGACCUUGCGCUGAUUGAGCGGCCGAUAUCAGAUUAGCUAGUUGGUGAGGUAAAGGCUAACCAAGGCGACGAUCUGUAGCGGGGCUGAGAGGAUGAUCCGCCACACUGGACCUGAGACACGGUCCAGACUCCUACGGGAGGCAGCAGUGGGGAAUUUUGGACAAUGGGGGCAACCCUGAUCCAGCCAUGCCGCGUGAGUGAAGAAGGCCUUCGGGUUGUAAAGCUCUUUCGGCCGGGAAGAAAUCGUAUCAGCUAAUACCUGGUGCGGAUGACGGUACCGGCAUAAGAAGCACCGGCUAACUACGUGCCAGCCGCCGCCGUAAUAC